rnacentral:rRNA from 1 species
UAGUCAUAUGCUUGUCUCAAAGAUUAAGCCAUGCAUGUCUAAGUAUAUACUUUUGUACAGUUGAACUGCGGAUGGCUCAUUAAAUCAGUUAUAGUUUAUCGAUGGUCACUUACUACAUGGAUAACCGUGGUAAUUCUAGAGCUAAUACAUGCGUAAAACUCCAAUUGGAGUGUGCUUGUCUGAAUUGAACCUUUACGGCUUGCCGUUUUAUGGUGAAUCAGGACAAAAGUACGAAUCGGCUUCGGCCGAUGCAUCAUUCGAGUUUCUGCCCCAUCAG